rnacentral:misc_RNA from 1 species
CUUAAUCCAGAAGAACCAAACUCAGAAGCACCAACUUUGACGUGUUGCAGAAAUGUCUUGAACUGGAAUGUCAUCAGAAGGUGCUCAUUUUUUUUCCUGCACUUUCUGGGUCGUUCUUGCAAACUAUGUUCAACCUGUUGUAUGUACGAACAAGCAUGAGUAUGACUACUGCUGUAGAAAAAGGACUUGCGUUUUCUCAUUCGAGAAAACAUUUUCCAUAUAAAGGAUUUUUCCCCCCCC